AUUCUGUUGUUGCAGGAGUGGUAACAACUUUGAACCUUAGGUUUUAUUGAUGUUAUCACGUCCCGGAAAAAUCUUGAUAACACCUUGGACUACAGUCUUGCCACAGAUCACCUGAAACAGCCAGUCUCACUAGGGAGAAGCCAGAGGACAAUAGCGUAAAGGACCAUGGGAGAUAGAGUCCAGAGCCAAAUGCAGCCACGCUACAAAAAUGAACUGGUCAGAGCUGCACAGAGCGCUCCUGUUUUCCAGAAACCUACAGUGGUGCGGUCCAAUGAGGUGGAGGAGAGGGAGCGCUACAGAUACCAGUGGAGGAAGGAGGACAGGCAGAGAAUCGUCAGCGACAGAUUGGAGCUCAUCGUCGCCAUAGUGACGGGGUUGUUGAUGGGGGUUCUGACAGGUGGUUUUGGGGGUGUUGUCAUGGGAGGGUUGACAGGGGCGGUGAUAUGGUUUACAACAGGACUGGUCAGGAACAGGUGGAGCCCCUGACUUACUGGGAGACACCAUGUGUAGGAUAUGGAUCUACUUUUAUAAAGACAUUUGGAGGAUAAAACAGUGUAUAGAUGGAAGGGCUUAAGUGGUGUGUCUUGUUUCUUGAUGCAUUUAUCCAACUUUAAUUAUGAAUCAUUUGGAAGUGAAUAAAAUCCCAAUAAAGAGAGACAAGAAACAAAGAA